rnacentral:tRNA from 1 species
GCGGAAGUGGCGGAAUUGGUAGACGCACCAGAUUUAGGUUCUGGCCGCAAGGUGUGAGAGUUCAAGUCUCUCCUUCCGCACCA